rnacentral:rRNA from 1 species
UACGUAGGGUGCAAGCGUUGUCCGGAAUUUUUGGGCGUAAAGAGCUCGUAGGCGGUCUGUCGCGUCGGCUGUGAAAACCUGGGGCUUAACUCCGGGCCUGCAGCCGAUACGGGCAGACUAGAGUUCGGCAGGGGAGACUGGAAUUCCUGGUGUAGCGGUGAAAUGCGCAGAUAUCAGGAGGAACACCGGUGGCGAAGGCGGGUCUCUGGGCCGAAACUGACGCUGAGGAGCGAAAGCGUGGGGAGCAAACAGG